UCCUCUUGCAAUUAUGAGGUAAGGCCUGCUCACUGAAUUUUGAAGAGCCGCAGUAUCCUGACUGUGCUAAGGUAGCAUAAUCAUUAGUCUUUUAAUUGGAGACUGGUAUGAAUGGUUUCACGAGAAAUCGUCUUUUUUUGUCGUAAAAAUCGAAUUUUACUUCUUAGUGAAAAGGCUAAGAUGCUUCAAGAAGACGAGAAGACCCUAUAGAGUUUUAUAAGUCUUUUAUAGGAUUUUUGAUUGGAUUUGUUCAAAAGAUUUAUAAAUAGCUUAUUUUGUUGGGGCGACAUUAAGAUAAAAAAAACUCUUUAUUCAAAGAAUUUUUAUGAAAAUAUGGUUUGAUCCUUUAGAAGAGAUUAAAAGAAAAAAUUACCUUAGGGAUAACAGCGUAAUCUUUUUUGAGAGUUCUAAUCGACAAAAAGGUUUGCGACCUCGAUGUUGGACUAAAAUUUAGGCAGGGUGCAGCAGUUCUGCUUUAAGGUCUGUUCGACCUAUAAUAUUUUACAUGAUCU
rnacentral:rRNA from 1 species